GUGUGUGUGUGUGUUAUUCUCUUCGUCUUCGCCUUCUAGAAAAAGUAAGAAGCAAAGGCAAAUACGCAGCUUUGCAGUGCGCCCAUAAAAAUAAUCAAAUUUCUUGUAUUUACACAAUUCAACAAAUUACAAUUCAAUAAAAUGCAUUUAGUGAACGCCAACGCGUUCAACGUGUAAAUAUUGUGAAGUGUUUUUGUAUUAAUUAAACGCAAGUGUGAAGAGCAAGUGCAAGUGCGAGACGCCGGCGCCGGCGCAGUCGCCCUCGACGUCGACGCGUCGUCAAAAACGGGCAAAGACAAGGUUGGCAAACACAUACAUACAUGUACAUACAAAAAAGAAAAACUAGUCUUGGCUGUAAAUCGAAUCAAAUCAAAUCAAAUCAAGUGCAAUAAAUAAUAGCAACAACAAUUACAACAACUACAACAACAGACAGCCCCAUUCCCAUUGAGUUGGUCGAGUCGACGUCGCUGCCUUUGCUGUUGGCGGCCGCCGUUCAACAAUUUUUCAGUUUAGUUGUUGUAAUUGCCGUAAUUAAUUUUAUUGUGUUAAGGUCAAGGCAAUUGUAAAAAUGCUUUAUAAUUACAAAUACGUUUUACACAUAAUGAAAUGCGAAAAAAAAGUGUUUGUGCUUGUUUGCUAUGAGGAAACGAAUUGUGUUUUUUUUUUUUGUUCAAUUUAACGACAACAACAAUAACAGAAACAUUGACCUCGCCAACAACAACAACAACAACAACAGAACAAAUUUAACAUUGCUGCAACAGAA